CCGAAAAUUAUACGAUCACCACUGGAAAGAUGAAAUUUCCUUCCUUCCAUGUAAAUUUCUCACUCCCAUCUUUCUCUAUUUCAAUUUUGAAUGGAAUUUCUAUGGUGAAGAGACAAUCGGUUCUCAGUCUCAAAGGAUCGCCAUUACUCGGAUUCUGAGACUGCACCUGAAACCCUAGAAUGGAUUAUUGAUUCGCUCAGACGUUACAGGUCUUUAUGUGAUGUUCAUGUUGUCAAUUUCUCCAAGGUUUCUGAUCCUCCUGUAUGUGAAACCUUAGUUGCCCACUUCAUAUGUGUUCGUGCCCAACUCUUAUCUUGCCGGAGAACCUGUGGAAAAUCUUCUCAAAAUUGCGUCUGGAAUAGUCCAGGAGCAUGGUGGGACCUUACUGGUCUCUUAGGGGUGCCUUAGGCCCUCUCUUGGAUAGUCUGAUAUUACUUGAUAAGUUGUUGAUCCUUCAGGAGCAAGGCAAUUUGGUGGAAGCUACAGCUGCACCUAUAUUUUAUCCUUAAUUAUCUCCAUGUGAUGUGGCCAUAAUGCUUGGAAAAAGGAUGCGAAUUUAAUAGUUAGUACUAUAGACUGACUGGGUUGGCUAAAUUACCAGCUUUGGAUUGUUAUGCAAGCAGAGUGCUUUGCAGUGCCGAAGCAUGUUUUCGAACCUAGUCUCCACAGCAUUACUGUAAUCUUGUUUCUUUUUAUUUUUAUUUUUAUUAUUAUUAUUUUUAAUUAUAGACAGGUUGAUGCUUCAAAGGGCUGGAGGCUUAUCAUUCACAUUAUAAGGGAGAAGCUGAGUAACUUCAACUGAUGGUACAUGUCUGUGCCAUGGUAGGCUACAACACAUCACGUGUUUUGGUAUUCAUAUUGUUAAACAAGUUAUUUCUCUCUAGCCCAUAUGCUGUCAUGGGAUGUUGGUGUUCUUCAGAUUGUGAGUAGGGGCUGUUAAGGCUUCAAAUGCUUAAUGUGUCAUCUUCCAUUGUUAUACAUCUGAGCUUCAAGGGCAUGGAGUUGAGUCUCAAAGUUGUGAGAGAGGGUCCAGGUGGCAUUUGUUUGCUGUGGAUGUAUUUGGAUUGGGUUUGACUUGUGCAGCAUACAGAUUUUUGAUUUAGAAAGCAUCAUCAGCUAACAAGGCAAGCCGACAAGCUAACCACGAAGGCAGAGGUGAAAUUAUUUGGUGGUGAAAUUGGCAGAGAAUAGCUCAACUCUCUGGAGAAGUAUAUUUCCACAAAAUGUGCACUUUUGGGGGAAAAUCUGAAAAUCCAUUUCUGUUCCGCUACGCUUAUGGGAAAAGAUAGAUUUGGCUGGAAAGAUUUGAAACUUGCUGGUGAUCAGUUUGGGUACUAGAAGUUCUAUAUGUGGCAGGCCAGCUAGAAUCAUUGUUCUUUUUGUUAUACAAGUCACAUUGCUGUGAAGGUGCUACUACCCUAGUCUUGGGGAUCGACAAGUUCAUUUCUUGAUCUGUUCUUCUUGUGUUGAUAUACAUUGUUGUAAUCAUUACCUAAAACUUGAGCUUUUGGGAUAAGCGGUUGUAACAUGUUAUCAAAGCUAAGCGGUUGGGUGUUUGAUCCCUGGUAUGUGUGAGGGAAGCUCGAGCUUUGAGAUAAACGAUUUUAAGAAUCUGUAAUGGUACUUCUGGGUUAUCCACACCAUUUUGUGCAGCCAAAGGUGACAAUGGCAUAAUUUGGUGGGACCCACCUAAAGGCCUAACGUGUGCUCAAGAAAACAGUUCCCAUUUUUUCGGUGGUCUGUGGUAUGGAAAUCAGAUGGGUUGAUCGAUUUUGAAACUA